UGCCAUCAAUAGUUCACGCCUCAACCUCCAUUCCUCUCUCUACCUACCUUCUCGUCCUACAGUCUUCACACACCCUCGAAUCUAAUUCACUCAACCCGCUGUGGUUUGAGGUUUCCCGAUGCGGCCCUGUUGGUAAAGCCUCCAUUUGCCGGUUCCUUGACCACAUCACAACAAAAACCUUUCAUCUGAACGCGGUCGAACGUUGUCGACGAGAGUACAAAACCGAAGUCAGUAGUCGAAACACUUGGUCUGCCCCUUCAACACCACGCAAGCACCAUGGAUUCGUUUUUCCCUUCGGUAAGUAUCCACAAUUUCUUCAUUUUCCGUGGGAGUCCUCAGACAUGAUUUGUUAGAACGUGGUCUCCGAUUAUGACAUCGAUUUUUCGUGGGUCGUUGCAGACGGGUUACAAUCUCCAUUCCUCCACCUCCAAUCCUCCUUCAAGCAAGAUUCAAGCACCGCCCCAAAAGAAUGCGCAAUGGAAUCCGCACGAGAACCAAAUUUUCAUAGUCACCUGCAGGAUCGUCAUAGCGGACGGUCACCGUAAUGGAAAAUGCUUCACGAAACACGGAUGGGAUACAUUCAUUCGCUUGCUCAACUCCAACUCUUGCCACGAUUGAAACAAGCAGCAACUGAAGAAUUAUUGGGAUGCUCUUCGACAAAAAUAUAAAUGAUCGGAGGAGUUGCUGAAUUGCACUGGUGUUGAAUACAACUUAAUUAAAUAACUUGUAAACUUUCAAACCUAGUUAUCGAUGUUUCCGGCUUGAGUUAAAAGUUCAUUAUGCAAAUCUACUCUUUUUCAAUAAUGUCUGCAGCAAAGGUUAUACUACUUCAUACAUGAUUUUUUUUUUUCAUUAGUAAUAGUAUGGAGAGACCGUGUAAUUUCUAAG
rnacentral:lncRNA from 1 species